GACGAACGCUGGCGGCGUGCUUAACACAUGCAAGUCGAACGGAAAGGCCCUGCUUGCAGGGUACUCGAGUGGCGAACGGGUGAGUAACACGUGGGUGAUCUGCCCUGCACUUCGGGAUAAGCCUGGGAAACUGGGUCUAAUACCGGAUAGGAGCCAUUUUUAGUGUGAUGGUUGGAAAGUUUUUUUCGGUGUAGGAUGAGCUCGCGGCCUAUCAGCUUGUUGGUGGGGUAAUGGCCUACCAAGGCGGCGACGGGUAGCCGGCCUGAGAGGGUGGACGGCCACAUUUGGACUGAGAUACGGCCCAGACUCCUACGGGAGGCAGCAGUGGGGAAUAUUGCACAAUGGGCGCAAGCCUGAUGCAGCGACGCCGCGUGGGGGAUGACGGCCUUCGGGUUGUAAACUCCUUUCGCUAGGGACGAAGCUUUUUGUGACGGUACCUAGAGAAGAAGCACCGGCUAACUACGUG
rnacentral:rRNA from 1 species